GAUGAACGCUAGCGGCAGGCCUAAUACAUGCAAGUCGAACGGGAUCCAGAUCAAAGCUUGCUUUGGUCUGGUGAGAGUGGCGCACGGGUGCGUAACGCGUGAGCAACCUACCCUUGUCAGGGGGAUAGCCCGGCGAAAGUCGGAUUAAUACCGCAUGACAUCAUUGAGAGGCAUCUUUCGAUGAUCAAAGAUUUAUCGGACAAGGAUGGGCUCGCGUGACAUUAGCUAGUUGGUAAGGUAACGGCUUACCAAGGCUGCGAUGUCUAGGGGCUCUGAGAGGAGAAUCCCCCACACUGGUACUGAGACACGGACCAGACUCCUACGGGAGGCAGCAGUAAGGGAUAUUGGUCAAUGGACGGAAGUCUGAACCAGCCAUGCCGCGUGCAGGAAGACGGCCCUAUGGGUUGUAAACUGCUUUUAUACGGGAACAAACGUCGGUACGUGUACCGGUCUGAGUGUACCGUAAGAAUAAGGAUCGGCUAACUCCGUG
rnacentral:rRNA from 1 species